GAUGAACGCUGGCGGCGUGCCUAAUACAUGCAAGUCGAGCGAACAGACGAGGAGCUUGCUCCUCUGACGUUAGCGGCGGACGGGUGAGUAACACGUGGAUAACCUACCUAUAAGACUGGGAUAACUUCGGGAACCCGGAGCUAAUACCGGAUAAUAUAUUGAACCGCAUGGUUCAAUAGUGAAAGACGGUUUUGCUGUCACUUAUAGAUGGAUCUGCGCCGCAUUAGCUAGUUGGUAAGGUAACGGCUUACCAAGGCAACGAUGCGUAGCCGACCUGAGAGGGUGAUCGGCCACACUGGAACUGAGACACGGUCCAGACUCCUACGGGAGGCAGCAGUAGGGAAUCUUCCGCAAUGGGCGAAAGCCUGACGGAGCAACGCCGCGUGAGUGAUGAAGGUCUUCGGAUCGUAAAACUCUGUUAUUAGGGAAGAACAAAUGUGUAAGUAACUAUGCACGUCUUGACGGUACCUAAUCAGAAAGCCACGGCUAACUACGUG
rnacentral:rRNA from 1 species